CAAAGCGCAUCGUGGUGGAAGUAUGGCUUCUUUCAGUUCUUAAAUAAUAAAAAAUAAUAAAUAAUAUAACUAAUAGGAACAGUUUAUAAUAUUGGAACUAUUCGACACUAUCGGAACGACACAAGUUAGGUCCGGAUCGUCGAUUUUAAAACUAGUUUUGUGUUCAUGGAAAACGUAGGAGCUCCGAAAGAAGCUCCGAAACGCACACGAACGUCAUACAAAAAGCUGAAGGCAAAGCUUCUCAGUCGGGGACCGACUUCUUCUUAUUAUGAGGCUAACACGAUGAUACUUUUAUGCACAAGGAAGUCGAGACAAUGUCCAAUCCAAAAAUUGUCUAGACCGGCACCGGGAAUCGAACCCAGCCACCCUCGGAAUGGUCUUGCUUUGUAGCCGCGCGUCUUACCGCACGGCUAAGGAGGGCUCCUGACCGACUUACGGUGUGGUAUAUGGCUAGGCCGAAACGAAAAUGCACGUGUGACGGGAAUGCUGAACGUAUAUUGAC